AGAGGUUUAAAACUCAUCCUAAAAUUGUCUCAUCGGUCUUAACCUCAUGAAACAUUAACCCAUCUAUGGGCACUCCUGGUGGAAAAUUGCUUAAGAAAGAUUUGAGGUGUUCAUCAGAGGAGUUAAAACCAGAAAACGUGAAAAGAGAGAACUCUUACCAAGGACACAUCAUCUAGAAUGAGGCCGAAGGUUGCUGCUCUCUCUGUGAGGUCUUCACUCACUUGCCUUGAGACCAGCUCUCUCUGGGUGAUCAAUUCUCCAGCAUCAAAGCGAGCC